rnacentral:tRNA from 1 species
AAGCUAUUAAUUUCAA